rnacentral:tRNA from 1 species
AAACUAAAAAAUUAGUUUUAUACAAAACCUUAGUAUGUCAAACUAAAAAAAUUAGUUUAAUCUAAUAUUUUUUA